UACCAGCUCUCCGAGUGGUAGGGAUGAUUAUUGGGCUUAAAGCGUCCGUAGCCGGCUUAGCAAGUUUCCUGUUAAACUCAGCGACUCAAUCGUUGGAUCGCGGGAAAUACUACUAGGCUAGGAGGCGGGAGAGGUCAACGGUACUUCUGGGGUAGGGGUGAAAUCCUAUAAUCCCGGGAGGACCACCAGUGGCGAAGGCUGUUGACUAGAACGCGCUCGACGGUGAGGGACGAAAGCUGGGGUAGCAAACCGGAUUAGAUACCCGGGUAGUCCCAGCUGUAAACGAUGCGAGCUAGGUGUUGGAAUGGCUACGGGCCAUUUCAGUGCCGCAGGGAAGCCAUUAAGCUCGCCGCCUGGGGAGUACGGCCGCAAGGCUGAAACUUAAAGGAAUUGGCGGGGGAGCACCACAAGGCGUGAAGCUUGCGGUUC
rnacentral:rRNA from 1 species